rnacentral:rRNA from 1 species
UACAGAGGUCCCAAGCGUUGUUCGGAUUCACUGGGCGUAAAGGGUGCGUAGGCGGCGCGGUAAGUCGGGUGUGAAAUCUCGGAGCUUAACUCCGAAACUGCAUUCGAUACUGCGGUGCUUGAGGACUGGAGAGGAGACUGGAAUUCAUGGUGUAGCGGUGAAAUGCGUAGAGAUCAUGAGGAAGACCAGUGGCGAAGGCGGGUCUCUGGACAGUUCCUGACACUGAGGCACGAAGGCCAGGGGAGCGAACGGG